AUUGAACGCUGGCGGCAGGCUUAACACAUGCAAGUCGAGCGGGGUUUUCGGACCUAGCGGCGGACGGGUGAGUAAUGCGUAGGAAGCUGCCCGAUAGAGGGGGAUACCAGUUGGAAACGACUGUUAAUACCGCAUAAUGUCUACGGACCAAAGUGUGGGACCUUCGGGCUACAUGCUAUCGGAUGCGCCUACGUGGGAUUAGCUAGUUGGUGAGGUAAUGGCUCACCAAGGCGACGAUCUCUAGCUGGUUUGAGAGGAUGAUCAUCCACACUGGAACUGAAACACGGUCCAGACUCCUACGGGAGGCGUCAGUGGGAAAUAUGGGACAAUGGGCGCAAGCCUGAUCCAGCCAUGCCGCGUGUGUGAAGAAGGCCUUCGGGUUGUAAAGCACUUUCAGCGAGGAGGAAGGGUUAGUCGUUAAUAGCGGCUAAUUUUGACGUUACUCGCAGAAGAAGCACCGGCUAACUCUGUGCCAGCCGCCGCCGUAAGAC
rnacentral:rRNA from 1 species